CGCCCGAUGACUGAAAGUAAGUUUAGGUCUUUUAAACCUAAAAUAGUAGUCACGCCUACUUCUGGUG
rnacentral:tRNA from 1 species